GCCCCCACAGGGACAGGGGGGGACCGACGGACUCCUAGGCCCGCCCCAAGAUUUUCCUGGAGGAGGCUCCGCUCCUCUCGACUUGCCUCCUGCUGGGACAGACAAGGACCUGCUGGCCUGCGGAGGAAGAUACAGUGUUUUCAGCUCUUCUGUUGAAAUGGCCAUGUCUAAGCACAUCUCUUCCUUUACAGCAGGUGGAUCUAUGUACUUCUACUGCUCUCUGUUUUCCUCCUCUAGAUGCUCUCUGGUCAUUCAAGUGCCUCUCAAUGACUGGCUUCAUGCUUUGAGCUGGAUGAAAUUGCUCAAUAUUUCUGAAGUUCAAAUAAAUAUAUAAUAAAUAUCAUCUUAA